rnacentral:rRNA from 1 species
UACGGGGGAUGCAAGCGUUAUCCGGAAUCAUUGGGCGUAAAGCGCCUGUAGGUUGUUUAAUAAGUCUGUUGUUAAAGACCAGGGCUCAACCCUGGGAAAGCAAUGGAAACUACUAGACUAGAGUAUGGCAGGGGUAGAGGGAAUUUCUAGUGUAGCGGUGAAAUGCGUAGAUAUUAGAAAGAACACCGGUGGCGAAAGCGCUCUACUGGACCAUUACUGACACUCAGAGGCGAAAGCUAGGGUAGCAAAAGGGAUUAGAUACCCCUGUAGUCCUAGCCGUAAACGAUGGAUACUAGAUGUUGUGCGUAAAGUACAGUAUCCUAGCUAACGCGUUAAGUAUCCCGCCUGGGGAGUACGCUCGCAAGGGUG